CCUACGGGUGGCAGCAGUGGGGAAUAUUGGACAAUGGGGGCAACCCUGAUCCAGCCAUGCCGCGUGUGUGAAGAAGGCCCUCGGGUUGUAAAGCACUUUCAGUGAGGAAGAACGCCUGGUGGUUAAUACCCAUCAGGAAAGACAUCACUCACAGAAGAAGCACCGGCUAACUCCGUGCCAGCAGCCGCGGUAAUACGGAGGGUGCGAGCGUUAAUCGGAAUUACUGGGCGUAAAGCGCGCGUAGGUGGCUUGAUAAGCCGGUUGUGAAAGCCCCGGGCUCAACCUGGGAACGGCAUCCGGAACUGUCAAGCUAGAGUGCAGGAGAGGAAGGUGGAAUUCCCGGUGUAGCGGUGAAAUGCGUAGAGAUCGGGAGGAAUACCAGUGGCGAAGGCGGCCUUCUGGACUGACACUGACACUGAGGUGCGAAAGCGUGGGUAGCAAACAGGAUUAGAUACCCUAGUAGUC
rnacentral:rRNA from 1 species